CUUCUUUGCUGGAAGCCAUUUGGUAAUGUUUACAUCUAAGGAAGUGAAGUGAUGGUCAUGAGUGCUGUCAUGUUUGGACACAACAAGUACAAAGUACAGAGCUCACUUAUCUAGCAGCCCUAAGAGUACAAAUGAGCGUAUAAAAUACCACUUUUUUUUCAGCCCUUUGGUUGUUAUUAAGUGUUUCAGGCUGUCCCUUUACAUGAAAGUCAAACCAACGUGACAGCCUAUUUGCAUCUGUGUUUUUAUCGUACAGCUGGCAGGAAGAGCUGUAGCCUGGGAGGAAAUCCUUCUGAAGGCUUACAGAAAUCGCUCUGGGGGGAAAAAAUCGCUAUUGUCAGAAUCUGCCAGUCUCCCUGGUACCUGUGACUUGGCGACCUACAUAUACAAAUCUACAUGUACACAUUACAAAAUAAAAAUGCUGAAAUAACAUUUGGACAGCUGCUCUACUUUCAUCAGAAGUCUUCCACUUGCUCCCUCCAGCACUGCAAUGCUGGUUGCAUCAAUGCCCCCUGGAGGCCAGCUGGAAAAGGGGCAGUUUAGAGGUGACACUGCCAUCUGGCUUUUGAAAUUAAAAGCAGAUCUCUAAAUGUGUAUCUAGGGUCGUUUAUUUAUUUAUUUAUUGGUCAUAUAGCAUCUAACAUCUGAAUCUGACCCCUCUGCACAUGCAUUAUAAUCACAAGUCAGUGUGACCAGUGACUCCCCCCCCCCCCUGAAGUUUUCCUACUUGAGCAUUCUCCUCAAGACCAUUCCCACAGUUUCAUGCAGUGGUCCAGUCACGAGUCACGAGGGUCAGGGGAAGAAAUGAAAGAACGCUUUUCUGAGCCUAUACCUCACACAACAGGAAAUUUUACAGUGCAUCGAUUAUAGUGUUUGUAAGAAGGUUGAAGAUGAUUGCUCAGAUACAUUUAUGCUCUCUGGCACGGCUUGGCUAUUGUGCCUGCUCCAUUCACUUAAAUUUUAUUGCAAAACAAACACAUUCAUUACACAACAUUUCUAACUGUAAGCCCAG
ensembl:lncRNA